UACGUAGGGGGCAAGCGUUGUCCGGAUUUAUUGGGCGUAAAGGGCGCGUAGGCGGUUUCUUAAGUUUGGAGUGACAGUGGGUGGCUUAACUACCCAAGGCCUCUGAAAACUGGGGAACUUGAGGACCAGAGAGGGACAUAGAAUUCCGGGUGGAGUGGUGAAAUGCGCAGAUAUCAGGAAGAACACCCGUGGCUAAGGCGGUUCUCUAGUACGGUACUGACGCUGAGACGCGAAAGCGUGGGGAGCGAACAGG
rnacentral:rRNA from 1 species